rnacentral:rRNA from 1 species
UACGGAGGGAGCUAGCGUUGUUCGGAAUUACUGGGCGUAAAGCGCGCGUAGGCGGCUUUGUAAGUUAGAGGUGAAAGCCCGGGGCUCAACCCCGGAACUGCCUUUAAGACUGCAUCGCUUGAAUCCGGGAGAGGUGAGUGGAAUUCCGAGUGUAGAGGUGAAAUUCGUAGAUAUUCGGAAGAACACCAGUGGCGAAGGCGGCUCUCUGGGACGGUACUGACGCUGAGACGCGAAAGCGUGGGGAGCGAACAGG